AGCUGUAUUUAGUGCAAAACCUUUUUAUUUAUUACAUCUGCUUGUAGAAUCUUUAUGAUUAAUUAUAGAAAAAU